AGUGGGAAGGGGCCGGGCCUGCUGCCUGACGUCUGCGGGGCUCGGAAGAUGGCUGCGGAGCUGAGCACCGGGCAGUGGCUGCGGCGGCUGCAGGCGGGGAGCGCAGCGGGCGGGGACUCCGCCUCGCGUGUGGGGCGCUGAGUCGGGAGGCGCGGAGGCGGUGAGGGCGCACCGGGGGCUCGGGGGGCCACUCGGUGCCACCUGCCCGCCACCUGCCGCACCAUGGGCAGCGCAGAGGACGCGGUCAAAGAAAAGCUGCUGUGGAACGUGAAGAAGGAGGUGAAACAAAUCAUGGAGGAGGCUGUCACCAGGAAAUUCGUGCAUGAAGAUAGCAGCCACAUCAUUGCUCUGUGUGGUGCUGUGGAGGCUUGCCUCCUGCAUCAGCUAAGACGCCGUGCUGCUGGCUUUCUGCGAAGUGACAAGAUGGCGGCCCUGUUCACCAAAGUGGGGAAGACAUGCCCCGUGGCUGAAGAUAUCUGCCACAAGGUGCAGGAGUUGCAGCAACAGGCAGAGGGCAGGAAACCCUCGGGAGGCAGCCAAGAAGCCCUUCGGAAACAGGGCUCUACCGGUGGGAAGGCCCCAGCUCUCAGCCCACAGGCCUUGAAACACAUAUGGGUACGCACAGCACUCAUGGAGAAAGUUCUGGACAGGGUUGUACAGUACCUGGCCGAAAACUGCAGCAAGUAUUACGAGAAGGAAGCAUUAUUGGCAGAUCCUGUGUUUGGCCCAAUCCUGGCAUGUCUCCUAGUGGGACCCUGUGCCUUGGAAUACACGAAGCUCAAGACAGCUGAUCACUACUGGACUGACCCCUCUGCUGAUGAGCUGGUUCAGAGGCACCGUAUCCGGGGUCCCCCUAACCGUCAGGACUCCCCGGCAAAGCGCCCUGCCCUGGGGAUCCGGAAGCGCCACUCUAGUGGGAGUGCCUCAGAAGACCGGCUUGCCGCCUGCGCCCGUGAGUACGUGGAGUCUCUGCACCAGAACUCAAGAACACGCCUGCUCUAUGGCAAGAACAACGUGUUGGUGCAGCCGAAGGAGGACAUGGAGGCAGUCCCUGGCUACCUCUCCCUGCACCAGUCUGCAGAGAACCUAACCCUGAAGUGGACUCCCAACCAACUCAUGAACGGGACUCUCGGGGACUCUGAGCUAGAGAAGAGUGUUUACUGGGACUAUGCCUUGGUGGUGCCCUUCAGUCAGAUCGUCUGCAUCCACUGCCACCAGCAAAAGAGCGGUGGCACGCUUGUGCUGGUGAGCCAGGAUGGCAUCCAGAGGCCGCCACUACACUUCCCACAGGGAGGACACCUGCUGUCCUUCCUGUCAUGUCUGGAGAAUGGGCUGCUGCCUCGUGGACAGCUUGAGCCCCCGCUGUGGACCCAGCAGGGAAAGGGCAAGGUUUUCCCCAAGCUACGGAAACGCAGCAGCAUUCGGUCCAUUGAUGUAGAGGAGCUGGGUGUCGGACGGGCAACGGACUACGUGUUCCGGAUCAUCUACCCCGGACAUAGGCACGAGCAUAUCACUAUUAACUACCACCACCUAGCGGCCAGCCGAGCGGCCUCGGUGGACGAUGAUGAGGAAGAGGAGGAUAAACUACACGCGAUGCUCUCAAUGAUCUGCUCGCGGAACCUCACAGCUCCCAAUCCGAUGAAAGAUGCUGGCGACAUGAUUGAGAUGCAGGGUUUCGGACCCAGCCUAACAGCCUGGCACCUAGAGCCCCUGUGUAGCCAGGGCUCCUCCUGCCUUUCCUGUUCCUCCAGUAGCUCCCCAUAUGCAACCCCCAGUCACUGCAGCUGCAUUCCUGACAGGUUGCCCCUCCGGCUGCUGUGUGAGAGCAUGAAGAGGCAGAUUGUGUCCCGGGCCUUCUACGGCUGGCUAGCCUACUGUCGCCACCUGUCCACAGUGAGGACACACCUGUCUGCAUUGGUGCAUCACAACAUCAUUCCACCAGACAGGCCCCCGGGGGCCUCAGGUGGCCUCACCAAGGAUGUGUGGAGCAAGUAUCAGAAGGACGAAAAGAACUACAAGGAGCUGGAGCUGCUGCGGCAGGUGUACUAUGGAGGCGUGGAACACGAGAUUCGCAAGGACGUCUGGCCCUUCCUACUUGGCCACUACAAGUUUGGCAUGAGCAAGAAGGAGAUGGAGCAGGUGGAUACAGCAGUGGCAGCAAGGUACCAGCAGGUGUUGGCAGAGUGGAAGGCCUGCGAGGUGGUGGUGAGGCAGCGGGAGCGGGAGGCUCACCCAGCCACGCUCACCAAGUUCUCCUCGGGCAGCAGCAUCGAUAGCCACGUGCAGCGCCUCGUGCACCGGGAUUCCACCAUCAGCAAUGAUGUAUUUAUCUCUGUGGAUGAUCUUGAGCCCUCUGGACCUCAGGACCUGGAAGAUUCCAAACCAAAGCGGGAACAGGAGCCAGGAGCUGGGACCCCGGGCAUAGCAGCUGCAGAGCAGCAGUCUGUGGAGUUUGACUCUCCAGACUCAGGGCUGCCUUCCUCCCGCAACUACUCUGUGGCCUCAGGCAUCCAGUCCAGCCUAGAUGAGGCACAGAGUGUGGGCUUUGAAGACGACGGUGCUGGAGAAGAUGGCUCCGAGGGUCCAGCCACUGCAGCCCACACUUUCCCGGGACCCCACGAUCCAGGCCAGGAGACGCUUGCACCUGCCAGUGAGCUUGAAGCAGGCCAGGAGCUCGCAGCUGUGUGCGCCGCAGCCUAUACUAUAGAAUUACUGGACACCGUGGCCUUAAAUCUGCACCGCAUAGACAAGGAUGUGCAGAGAUGUGACCGCAACUACUGGUACUUCACGACCUCCAACCUCGAGAGGCUCAGAGACAUCAUGUGCAGCUACGUGUGGGAGCACCUGGAUAUGGGCUACGUGCAGGGCAUGUGUGAUCUCCUGGCACCUCUCCUGGUCAUCCUUGACAAUGACCAGCUGGCCUACAGCUGCUUCAGCCACCUCAUGAAGAGGAUGGGCCAGAACUUCCCCAGUGGGGGUGCCAUGGACAGCCACUUUGCCAACAUGCGCUCCCUCAUCCAGAUCUUGGACUCAGAGCUAUUUGAGCUGAUGCAUCAAAAUGGAGACUAUACCCACUUCUAUUUCUGUUAUCGCUGGUUCCUGCUGGAUUUUAAAAGAGCCCCGUGCCUGGAUCAAGUGGCAGCUCCUUCCUGUUCCCAGAGCUGCUGUAUGAGGACGUGUUUGCAGUGUGGGAAGUGAUCUGGGCAGCCAGGCGCAUCUCCUCAGAGCACUUUGUCCUGUUCAUCGCCCUGGCCCUGGUGGAGGCCUACAGAGAGAUUAUCCGUGACAACAACAUGGACUUCACCGACAUCAUCAAAUUCUUCAACGAGCGGGCUGAGCGGCAUGAUGCCCAGGAGAUCCUGCGGAUUGCCCGGGACUUGGUCCACAAGGUGCAGAUGCUCAUAGACAACAAGUGACGGCUGCAGCUGGGGGUGGCAAAGUGCAGAGCCCAGGUACCAGGCCCCUGAGCUCCAGCAGGGAGAGGCAGAGGCCAUCAUAGCCCAAACUGCCUCUCCCGAUCCCUUACCCCACCCUCACCCCUGCCAACCCCACCCACUCAGCUGUGUAACCUAACAAAGUGACUGAGCCUGGGAUGUGAGUGUGGGCAGUGCUGGCCCUGCAGGGCAAGUUGGGGUCAGGAUGCCUGCAGAUCACAGCUGGGUAGGAGGGGUCGGCCUCAGGAGACUGGCUGCCUUGGGGGACCCCUUUCUGUGUUCCCCUCUCAAACAACUUAGAAUAGCCCCAGUGCCGCCUGCAGCCUCAGCCUGGACUGUUUCCCAAAGCCUCUUUCCUGUCAACCUGGGGCCCUGUAUGGUUAGUGGGGUCUACAGUGGCCCGCGCCUCAUCUAACAAGAGUUGCAUAGGACCAGGGGCUCUGUGCCAUAUCUCUCCUGAGGCCUUCUAUGGUCUCAACUAGCUGCCUGUUCAGGCAUGUGUCCUAGGGGCAGGAGACCUUGGCUACCUCCCAGGCUCUCCUAAGACUCUGGGGCAGUCAGAUGUGGGCCCUGGGUGAGAGUGGCCCACCUCAGCAGCACUGCCACAGCCUCUGGCCAGAGAUUAACCCCAUGAUCUCCCCACAGUACACAGUGACCCACCCACUCGUGUGUACAGUGUCACUCUCUGCACCCUGCCCUUGCUUUCUGCACUAGAAAUCCCUAGGACUGCACAUAAGCAACACACUCGCCGCCCGCUGUGUGGUGUGGAGGGCAGUGACUGCGCUUGCCCUCCAGAACCACCCCAGAAAGUGUAGGAAGACAGUCCUAUCACAACCUUCCUCCAAGGACAGGCCUGUGAGUUCCGGGGUACCUGUUACCUAUUCCAGACAUCUGAGUACCUGGGGCUGAGGGAGGUGGGAGUGCCUGGAUAGUCCCAGUUCAUCCCCAGGGAGAGGCAAGGCCAGCUCCACUUUCCAUAGGCUUUUCAGGGUUCUGAGAAGCCUGAAGACCCAGAAGGGUCUCUGGAAGAGUUUACAGGGUUGUCGAUAAAGGUCCAACCCUUGACCUGAGGUCUAGGCAUGCUGUUUCUUUGUUCUGUCACCCCCCCCAUGUCCCCACCAUCUGAGCACAUGUAAGCCAAGUCUGGGCCCUGAAGCCCACACCUGGCCUGGCUCCUGCCUAGAAGUCACCAAGGUCCACAGACUUGCUGCAGCUGAAAAACACGAGAAAGGACCAGCCGCAUUCUGCACAUAGCACAGCCUUCCCUGUCCCCUACCCCAACCCGGGUACUGCACAGCCUGUGUGGGGCCAGCUUACCCCAUUGCCCACCCUUGUUCCUGACUCCUCAGUCUCCACCAAGCACGGGUGGCCAAUGUGUGCCUGCCUUAGUGACUCUGGUUUUGUGAGGAGCAGAGUGUAUGGGGUUUUGAGUUUUGUUUGUUUGUUCAUUUGGUUGGUUGGUUUUUGUUUUGCUCAGAAACUAUACUCUUCAAUGUAACAGACUAAUAAAAUGCAUUUGGCAAUGCC